rnacentral:rRNA from 1 species
AACGCGAAGAACCUUACCUGGGCUCGAAAUGUAGUGGACCGCCGGUGAAAGUCGGUUUCCUAGCAAUAGGUCGCUAUAUAGGUGCUGCAUGGCUGUCGUCAGCUCGUGUCGUGAGAUGUUGGGUUAAGUCCCGCAACGAGCGCAACCCUUACCUACAGUUGCCACCCGCAAGGGGGAACUCUGUCGGAACCGCCUCGGAUAACGGGGAGGAAGGUGGGGAUGACGUCAAGUCCUCAUGGCCUUUAUGUCCAGGGCUACACACGUGCUACAAUGGCCGGUACAAACCGCUGCAAACCCGCGAGGGGGAGCUAAUCGGAAAAAGCCGGCCUCAGUUCGGAUUGGAGUCUGCAACUCGACUCCAUGAAGCUGGAAUCGCUAGUAAUCGUGGAUCAGCAUGCCACGGUGAAUACGUUCCCGGGCCUUGUACACACCGAGACGAC